CGGGAUACCCGAGGGAAACUUCGGUUAAUACGGUAUAAGACCACACUACCGCAUGGUAGAGGGGUAAAAGGGGCAACCUGGUAUGAGAUGGACUCGCGUCGCAUUAGCUAGUUGGUGAGGUAACGGCCCACCAAGGCGACGAUGCGUAGCCGACCUGAGAGGGUGAUCGGCCACAUUGGGACUGAGAUACGGCCCAGACUCCUACGGGAGGCAGCAGUGGGGAAUAUUGGGCAAUGGAGGAAACUCUGACCCAGCAAUGCCGCGUGAAUGAAGAAGGUCUUCGGAUUGUAAAGUUCUUUAGUCAGGGAAGAAGUCAAUGACGGUACCUGAAGAAUAAGCUCCGGCUAACUACGUGCCAGCAGCCGCGGUAAUACGUAGGGAGCAAGCGUUGUUCGGAAUGACUGGGCGUAAAGGGUGCGUAGGCGGUUGUACAAGUUAGAAGUGAAAUACCCAGGGCUUAACUCGGGUGCUGCUUCUAAAACUGUAUGACUUGAGUGCAGUAGAGGUUAGUGGAAUUCCUAGUGUAGCGGUGGAAUGCGUAGAUAUUAGGAGGAACACCAGAGGCGAAGGCGGCUGACUGGACUGCAACUGACGCUGAGGCACGAAAGUGUGGGGAGCAAACAGGAUUAGAUACCCUGGUAGUCCACACUGUAAACGAUGGAUACUAGAUGUAGGAGGUAUCGACUCCUUCUGCGUCGCAG
rnacentral:rRNA from 1 species